rnacentral:rRNA from 1 species
AUACGGAGGGUGCAAGCGUUACUCGGAAUCACUGGGCGUAAAGCGCGCGCAGGCGGCUUGAUAAGUUGGAUGUGAAAGCCUACGGCUCAACCGUAGAACUGCAUCCAAAACUGUCAAGCUAGAGUGUGGGAGAGGAAGAUGGAAUUAGUUGUGUAGGGGUAAAAUCCGUAGAGAUAACUAGGAAUACCAAAAGCGAAGGCAAUCUUCUGGAACACUACUGACGCUGAGGCGCGAAAGCGUGGGGAGCAAACGGGAUUAGAAACCCUAGUAGUCC